GGGGACCUGGCGGCGGUACACAAGCUGUGAGUCACCUGGAGACCGCGCCAGAUAGAUCGGGGAGUGCGCGUGGAGUGACGUCAUCGCCUCCCUGGGACUGUAGCACGCACAAGUCUGCCGGGUUGAAAGUCACAUGCGACUUUGCCACCAUUGACCUCAUACACCCAAAAAGAGAAGCUGACAUGCCAUCAUCCUGGUCUCUGCACUGUGAUCUCUUGUGAAUACCAAUAGAAGCGCCAGUGUUAUAAAGUUGUAAAGAAACCAGUUAGAAGGAAUUUAGAGAAUUUCGUAACAGUAAAGGAUAAAGGCAAAAGCUGGAGCCAUGGCGAACAAGAGUGAAGCUACAGAGAACAGAUAUGAUA